GAUGAACGCUGGCGGCGUGCCUAAUACAUGCAAGUCGAGCGAACGGACGAGAAGCUUGCUUCUCUGAUGUUAGCGGCGGACGGGUGAGUAACACGUGGAUAACCUACCUAUAAGACUGGGAUAACUUCGGGAAACCGGAGCUAAUACCGGAUGAUAUUUUGAACCGCAUGGUUCAAAAGUGAAAGACGGUCUUGCUGUCACUUAUAGAUGGAUCCGCGCUGCAUUAGCUAGUUGGUAAGGUAACGGCUUACCAAGGCAACGAUGCAUAGCCGACCUGAGAGGGUGAUCGGCCACCCGGGAGCUGAGACACGGUCCAGACGCCUACGGGAGGCAGCAGUAGGGAAUCGUCCGCAAUGGGCGAAAGCCUGACGGAGCAACGCCGCGUGAGUGAUGAAGGUCUUCGGAUCGUAAAGCUCUGUUAUUAGGUAAGAACAUAUGUGUAAGUAACUGUGCACAUCUUGACGGUACCUGAUCAAGAAGCCACGGCUAACUACGUG
rnacentral:rRNA from 1 species